UACAGAGGGUGCGAGCGUUGUCCGGAAUCACUGGGCGUAAAGGGCGCGUAGGUGGCUGUGUAAGUCGGGGGUGAAAUGCUGCGGCUCAACCGCAGCGCUGCCUUCGAGACUGCACGGCUCGAGCACGGUAGAGGCCGAUGGAAUUCCCGGUGUAGCGGUGGAAUGCGUAGAGAUCGGGAAGAACACCAAUGGCGAAGGCAGUCGGCUGGGCCGUUGCUGACACUGAGGCGCGACAGCGUGGGGAGCAAAC
rnacentral:rRNA from 1 species